GAUGAACGCUGGCGGCGUGCCUAACACAUGCAAGUCGAGCGGCAGCGAGGGGUGCUUGCACCCUGUCGGCGAGCGGCGGACGGCUGAGUAACGCGUGGGAACGUGCCCCAAAGUGAGGAAUAACUGCCCGAAAGGGUAGCUAAUACCGCAUAUUAUCUUCGGAUCAAAGGAUUUAUCCGCUUUGGGAGCGGCUAGCGUCGGAUUAGGUAGUUGGUGAGGUAAUGGCUCACCAAGCCGACGAUCCGUAGCUGGUCUGAGAGGAUGACCAGCCAGACUGGAACUGAGACACGGUCCAGACUCCUACGGGAGGCAGCAGUGAGCAAUCUUCCACAAUGGGCGAAAGCCUGAUGGAGCAACGCCGCGUGCAGGACGAAGGCCUUCGGGUUGUAAACUGCUUUUAUAAGUGAGGAAUAUGACGGUAACUUAUGAAUAAGGAUCGGCUAACUACGUG
rnacentral:rRNA from 1 species